CGCUCCUUGAUUUUAAUUAAUAAGGAGUCGGACCUGCCCAGUGAUAAGUAUUUAACGGCCGCGGUACUCUGACCGUGCAAAGGUAGCAUAAUCAUUUGCCCUAUAAUUGAGGGCUAGUAUGAAUGGUUUGACAAGAACAAUACUGUCUCUUUCAAAANUUUCUAGAAUUUAUUCUUUAGGUGAAGAAACCUAAAUAAAAUUAAAAGACAAGAAGACCCUAUCGAGCUUAAACUCUUUUUAUAAAAUAAAAAAAAUUAAUAAUAUUUUUUGUUAUAAAAAAUUUUGGUUGGGGCGACUAAGGAACAAAAAAAGCUUCUUUGUUUAAUAAAGACAAAUAUGUAUUGAUCCAUAAAANUCUUGAUUAAAAGAAUUAGUUACCGUAGGGAUAACAGCAUAAUCUUUUUUAAGAGUUCUUAUCGAAAAAAAGGUUUGUGACCUCGAUGUUGGACUAAAAUUUCCUAAUAGAUGCAGACGUCUUUAAGGG
rnacentral:rRNA from 1 species